rnacentral:rRNA from 1 species
UACGUAGGUGACAAGCGUUAUCCGGAAUUACUGGGCGUAAAGCGCACGCAGGCGGCUGAUUAAGUCUGACGUGAAAUCUCCUGGCUUAACUGGGAGGGGUCGUUGGAAACUGGUCGGCUUGAGGCAGUGAGAGGGGUGUGGAAUUCCCGGUGUAGUGGUGGAAUGCGUAGAUAUCGGGAGGAACACCAGUGGCGAAAGCGGCGCCCUGGCACUGGCCUGACGCUCAUGUGCGAAAGCGUGGGGAGCGAACGGGAUUAGAUACCCCCGUAGUCC